UGAAAGGGAAGUCGCUCAGUUGUGUCCGACUCUUCGUGACCCCAUGGACUGCAGCCCACCAUGCUCCUCCAUCCAUGGGAUUUUCCAAGCAAGAGUACUGGAGUGGGGUGCCAUCGCCUUCUCCGUGUCCCAGCCUAGGCCAAGGCUAUUAGAGUUUUCUCUUGACUCUAUCCAUCUCUAAAAAAAAAAUGAUCCUUUCUGACAAUCCUUCAGCUUCAGUCCCUGGAGAAGACUUGAGUCCAGUAGGCGUUUUUUCUCUGUGUUCUUAUCUACUCAAUUCUGAUUGUUCUCCAGGUCAGCUGGUGAAAUGUCUGUGCUUCACUGAUGAUUGUUUCUGCUCUCCCAGACCUAACAGCUUGGACUUUCCAGAAAAAUGGAGAUUUUUUUUUCCUUGAAUUCCCUCCUUCAUCCCCACUCAAUAUUGAAGCAUAUUCAUUCCUCUGCGUAUGGUAAUUAACACACUCAUCUUGGUGCACACACCCUUUUGUAUAUGGACUCUUCAAAGUGCAGUAAAGAAAAAUAAGUCAAUAACAAGUUUUAUCACCCUUGAGGUAAUUCUUAUGUGGGCACAUGUGAGAUUUUUUUUUCCUAAGCAAAAUUAUUGUAACACAAUUUAAAAUUAUAAAAUGGCUAUAACUUACAAUGCUUGUUUUAUGUCCUGCUUUGCACACAGAGUAUUAAUAAUGCCAACAAACUUGAUUUGCUUUAUAUGGCAAACCUAUACCGACUUGAUGACUCAGCAUUCAUCACUUGAGGGACUUCCCUGGUGCUCCAGUGUUUAAGAAUCCGCCUUCCACAGCAGGGGACCUGGGUUCAAUCCCUGGUCAGGGAAUGGAGGUCCCAAAUGCCACAGGGCAACCAAGCCCGUGUGGCACAACUAUUGAUCCUGUGCUCUUGAGCCUAUGUUCUGCAAUAAGAGAAAACCACACGCCCCAACAAAGAGCCCACAUGUGGCAAUGAAGACCCAGCGCAGCCAAAAUAAAAAAAAAAUAAAUCACCA